UUCUGCAAAGAAGAAUGAGAGAAACGGCCCAGAAAUAGAUAAGUGAAGAAUUCAAGAGGAUAACAACAGUUGGCCUUGAAUUGACCUUUCUGGCAAAGCUUGACCAAUGCACCCUGAAACUGAUGUCCCUGACCCAAUCAAAGGGAGGAUCCGCAGGCCUCAAGAUAAGGUACAUUACAGACAUGCUUCUUGAGGACAACCGAGAUGAAAAGUACAGAGAAAUGGCCAUUCGCUGCCUCAUCUUGGAGAGAAGGAGGAAGACCUUUUCAAACAUUACAACGAUGUGGAGGAGCUCGACGUAGACCUUUCGAUGCAAGUGAUGAAGAUUGCCAUCAUUGGUGAUGGGCGUCCAACCAUCGCAGUCGAGGGAACCGAGAUCCUGCAGGGGAUUGAUGUCGCCAGAUCCUGUGCUUUGCUGAUGGGAGUAAUCUAUGCCCUUAACCUUAGCUAUCCCAAGCACUUUAAAUUUACCUUUGAGGUAUUUCAGAAGCUAUGUCUUGAGCUUGAUGGACAAAAAGCCAGCUCUAAAGUAACAAAUCUCAAGUACGGUAUUUUCUAGAGUAGACUUGAUCGACCAUGUGUGAGGGAGAGGCUCACAUCACACGCACUCACACAAUUCGCUUGUUCUUUCUGAGAUAAUAUUAAUACCUACAGUACUGAGUGAAAACCAAAUCAGUGUAAUCAGAAUUGAAAAGGAUGGCCUCUGUUCUCUGAGGGUGUUGGUGUUAUUUUGAACUUGAACUUGUCUCUUUGGAAAUUUUUGCUGGAGUUAAUCAGGAGGAUGAGAAGUCUGAUAUUGAGAUGAGAUGAGAGAUGAUGCGAGUACUGCCAAAGUUGAUUGAUAGAAGCUCAUUUGAUGUUGAAAUGUGUCCCUUUAAUAUACAGCCAUCGAUCAUCUUUUGUUUUAAAUCAUUUUCAUUUGUUCAUGUCAAAGGACGGUGAUUCAUGCACUCGGCUUUACUUUACUAUUUUAUAACACUUUUCCUCCUCAUAGAUUUCUGAGUGCAUGUUAUUUUGUGUCUCAGGAGAAUGUAGCCUACACAGUUUGCACAGUUUGAAGGAUUUUGAGCCGUGGUUAAUUCCUCCCAUGACCUUUGCUCUGGGGGUAUAGGUGUAUUUUGAACUUUAUAUGCAGUGCCUUCUUUUCCUGGCAUUAGUCAGGAGGGUAAACAGUCAUAUAUUGAGAAUAAGGAUGAUGAUGUGAGAGUACUGCCAAAGUUGAUUGAAAGAAGCUUUGCUCAUUUGAUGUUGAAAUUAGUGCCUUUAAUGUACAGCCAUCUAAUGGUGGUUUAACUUCACUUUAUAAUACUGUUCCUCCUCAUACAUUUCUGAGUGCAUGUUAUUUUGUGUCUCAGGAGAAUGUAGCCUACAAAUGUGGGUUUUUGCUUUUUUAAGAAAUGUGCUACUGUUUAUUACAGUUACUGUAAUGAAAUAAAUAAAUAAAAAUAAAAUAAAUAAUUCUGCCAGCAGUUGGCUUAACUUAAAAAUUCUAGUGUAAAACGUUAACAUAUUUUUUUGAGUUGUCCCAAUGUUUCAUUUUUUAGAGUGUAUGGACAUAAUUAUCUGUUUAUAUUGUUAAUCCCUGCUUGUAUUUUAUUCC